AUUAGCAUACCUAGGGCUGGAUAGGAAUUUUCAAUUUCUCACCUUUCUCUCAAUUCUCAAAAGCUCUGUUGCUGACCCGCUGUGACCUGUGAGUUCGAGUUCGAGCCUUCGACUGCCGAUUGUGCGACAGAGACCUCGGCGAUGACGACUUCUCAGUUCUCUCAUCGGCGACUGACAGUCAUUGUUCAAUCUUCAUUCUUCAACAGUUGCAGAGGAUGGAGGAGUCAUUUGGGAGUUCGACAAAUGAAUCCUUGAAUAUUUUGCACUUGCUUCGUUUGCUCCAUAGUUUUCCAUUUUCUCUUUUCACGGCGAGUAGUUCACAUUGGCCUCUAUAGUUCAAAAUUUUGUAUAUAGGAUAAUACACAAUUUAUUUUCUAGCUGUACAUUUGAGGAGCAGUGACUACAUUGAUGUAGUUAAUUAAUUUUAGUUACAUAUUCCUCUUUUAUUAUAGCAUCAUAUCCUAACACAUUGUUGUUACUACAUUUUAGAAGCUUGAACAACUUGAUCGAA